CACCUUCGGUGUCCGAGUUGUAAUCUCUAGAAGUGUUUUCCGCGUUGGACCGCACACAAGUCUGUUGGAAUACAGCGGCAUAGUGGUGAAACCCCCGUAUAUGGUGCGGACGCCCAGCGCUUUGUGAUACACUUUCAAUGAGUCGAGUUGUUUGGGAAUGCAGCUCAAAUUGGGUGGUAAAUUCCAUCUAAAGCUAAAUAUUGGCGAGAGACCGAUAGCGAACAAGUACCGUGAGGGAAAGAUGAAAAGCACUUUGGAAAGAGAGUUAACAGUACGUGAAAUUGUUGGAAGGGAAACGCUUGAAGUCAGACUUGCUUGCCGGAGCUUGCUUCGGUUUGCAGGCCAGCAUCAGUUUUCCGGGGUGGAUAAUGACGGUUUGAAGGUAGCAGUCUCGGCUGUGUUAUAGCUUUCCGUUGGAUACGCCCUGGGGGACUGAGGAACGCAGCGUGCUUUUUGCGA
rnacentral:rRNA from 1 species